GACGAACGCUGGCGGCGUGCUUAACACAUGCAAGUCGAACGGAAAGGCCCUUCGGGGUACUCGAGUGGCGAACGGGUGAGUAACACGUGGGUGAUCUGCCCUGCACUUUGGGAUAAGCCUGGGUAACUGGGUCUAAUACCGAAUAGGACCACGCGCUUCAUGGUGUGUGGUGGAAAGCUUUUGCGGUGUGGGAUGGGCCCGCGGCCUAUCAGCUUGUUGGUGGGGUAAUGGCCUACCAAGGCGACGACGGGUAGCCGGCCUGAGAGGGUGACCGGCCACACUGGGACUGAGAUACGGCCCAGACUCCUACGGGAGGCAGCAGUGGGGAAUAUUGCACAAUGGGCGCAAGCCUGAUGCAGCGACGCCGCGUGAGGGAUGACGGCCUUCGGGUUGUAAACCUCUUUCAAUAGGGACGAAGCGCAAGUGACGGUACCUAUAGAAGAAGCACCGGCCAACUACGUG
rnacentral:rRNA from 1 species